UACGAAGGGGGGCUAGCGUUGCUCGGAAUCACUGGGCGUAAAGCGCACGUAGGCGGCUUGUUAAGUCAGGGGGUGAAAAUCCCCGGGGCUCAACCCCCGGAACUGCCUUUUGAUACUGAUAGUCUCGAGUCCGGAAGAGGUGAGUGGAAAUUCCGAGUGUAGAGGUGAAAAUUCGUAGAUAUUCGGAGGAACACCAGUGGCGAAGGCGGCUCACUGGUCCGGUACUGACGCUGAGGUGCGAAAAGCGUGGGGGGAGCAAAACGGG
rnacentral:rRNA from 1 species